rnacentral:rRNA from 1 species
GGUUAAGCGACUAAGCGUACACGGUGGAUGCCCUGGCAGUCAGAGGCGAUGAAGGACGUGCUAAUCUGCGAUAAGCGUCGGUAAGGUGAUAUGAACCGUUAUAACCGGCGAUUUCCGAAUGGGGAAACCCAGUGUGAUUCGUCACACUAUCAUUAACUGAAUCCAUAGGUUAAUGAGGCGAACCGGGGGAACUGAAACAUCUAAGUACCCCGAGGAAAAGAAAUCAACCGAGAUUCCCCCAGUAGCGGCGAGCGGACGGGGAGCAGCCCAGAGCCUGAAUCAGUGUGUGUGUUAGUGGAAGCGUCUGGAAAGGCGUGCGAUACAGGGUGACAGCCCCGUACACAAAAAUGCACAUAUUGUGAGCUUGAUGAGUAGGGCGGGACACGUGGUAUCCUGUCUGAAUAUGGGGGGACCAUCCUCCAAGGCUAAAUACUCCUGACUGACCGAUAGUGAACCAGUACCGUGAGGGAAAGGCGAAAAGAACCCCGGCGAGGGGAGUGAAAAAGAACCUGAAACCGUGUACGUACAAGCAGUGGGAGCACGCUUAGGCGUGUGACUGCGUACCUUUUGUAUAAUGGGUCAGCGACUUAUAUUCUGUAGCAAGGUUAACCGAAUAGGGGAGCCGAAGGGAAACCGAGUCUUAACUGGGCGUUAAGUUGCAGGGUAUAGACCCGAAACCCGGUGAUCUAGCCAUGGGCAGGUUGAAGGUUGGGUAACACUAACUGGAGGACCGAACCGACUAAUGUUGAAAAAUUAGCGGAUGACUUGUGGCUGGGGGUGAAAGGCCAAUCAAACCGGGAGAUAGCUGGUUCUCCCCGAAAGCUAUUUAGGUAGCGCCUCGUGAAUUCAUCUCCGGGGGUAGAGCACUGUUUCGGCAAGGGGGUCAUCCCGACUUACCAACCCGAUGCAAACUGCGAAUACCGGAGAAUGUUAUCACGGGAGACACACGGCGGGUGCUAACGUCCGUCGUGAAGAGGGAAACAACCCAGACCGCCAGCUAAGGUCCCAAAGUCAUGGUUAAGUGGGAAACGAUGUGGGAAGGCCCAGACAGCCAGGAUGUUGGCUUAGAAGCAGCCAUCAUUUA